AUCCAACGGAAACAUAUUUGUUUUUCCACAAAUCCAGUUUUUAUAUUAUCAAUCUAUUCCAAUUGGAUUUACAUAUUUAGUAACAAUCAUCUUGCUCAGUAGUUUUGAUAGAAAGUAUUUUAAAAUGUGUCUUUGGACUGAUGCUGACUGAUCGUGGUGUUUCCCACAGGUAUGGUUCAUUUAACCAUGCCACCUGAGCCUGUGUGUUACCAGGACACCGUGGACCUGCUGUGCACAUCACAGGAGAACCUGAAAGCCCAACCACAGUGGUUCCUCAGAAAGCAGGAGGACAUCUUUGACAUAACCACAGGCACCGUUUCAGACGUGAUGAUCCUCCAGCCCACGCAGACCAAAAUCACACUGAGUGGCGUCUCACGUCUGUGGGCAGGGGAAUACAUAUGUGUGUACCAACAAAGGAAUGGUCGUAACAUAAUAUCGCACAAAGCAACCGCUAAAAUGGAUGUUGCCCUCCUGCCCAACGUUGACACCUCCACUGAUCCACAGUUUCCUCGCUGUAGGAAAAGCUCAGAGGUCCUGAACCUCAGAGCCAAAUGUGAGGUGUUACUAAGCAGCGAACGUUACAAACACACGGGUGACCUGGGAAGGAGACGGCAUCACACAGCAGUCGUCGUUCAUUGGUAA
rnacentral:lncRNA from 1 species